UCUAGGUCAGUGUCAAGUUGACAGCUGAAGCUAAUUAUGAUGUCAUCUUUGGGCUGUUUUGCAACUCUUUGUAAGCGAUGGUUCUAUGAACAUGCUAUUAAAAUCCUCCAGUGAUUUGUAAGGAAGAACUGAAGUUGAAUUUGAGAUGGAACAGAACCACGGACUCAAAGGGAAUGGCAACACAUUCUUGAUCUUGCUCUUCCUGGUAUCUCAUCAUCGUUGGUCGGUUCUUUUAACUUUGACUAAACCUGCCUGCAUGGUUGAGGUGGUUUGGAUGAGAUGUGCUUCUCAUGGGUUCAGCUGUCAGACACACCAGAAGAGGGCAUCAGAUCCC